UACGGGGGGGAGCAAGCGUUGUUCGGAUUUACUGGGCGUAAAGGGCGCGUAGGCGGUCGUGACAAGUCACUUGUGAAAUCUCCGGGCUUAACUCGGAACGGUCAAGUGAUACUGUCGGACUAGAGUACAGAAGGGGCAACUGGAAUUCUCGGUGUAGCGGUGAAAUGCGUAGAUAUCGAGAGGAACACCGGUGGCGAAGGCGGGUCUCUGGGCCGAUACUGACGCUGGAGGAGCGAAAGCGUGGGGAGCGAACAGG
rnacentral:rRNA from 1 species